rnacentral:rRNA from 1 species
AGUGGCGGACGGGUGAGUAACGCGUGGGAAUAUGCCCUAUGGUGCGGAACAACUGAGGGAAACUUCAGCUAAUACCGCAUGUGCCCUACGGGGGAAAGAUUUAUCGCCAUAGGAGUAGCCCGCGUUGGAUUAGCUAGUUGGUGGGGUAAUGGCUCACCAAGGCUACGAUCCAUAGCUGGUCUGAGAGGAUGAUCAGCCACACUGGGACUGGGACACGGCCCAGACUCCUACGGGAGGCAGCAGUAGGGAAUCUUGCGCAAUGGGCGAAAGCCUGACGCAGCCAUGCCGCGUGAAUGAUGAAGGUCUUAGGAUUGUAAAAUUCUUUCACCGGGGACGAUAAUGACGGUACCCGGAGAAGAAGCUCCGGCUAACUUCGUGCCAGCAGCCGCGGUAAUACGAAGGGGGCUAGCGUUGCUCGGAAUUACUGGGCGUAAAGGGCGCGUAGGCGGACAGUUUAGUCAGAGGUGAAAGCCCAGGGCUCAACCUUGGAAUAGCCUUUGAUACUGGCUGUCUUGAGUACGGGAGAGGUGUGUGGAACUCCGAGUGUAGAGGUGAAAUUCGUAGAUAUUCGGAAGAACACCAGUGGCGAAGGCGACACACUGGCCCGUUACUGACGCUGAGGCGCGAAAGCGUGGGGAGCAAACAGGAUUAGAUACCCUGGUAGUCCACGCUGUAAACGAUGAGUGCUAGUUGUC